GACGGCUAAACGUCAAUGGCCACUACUCUUCAACAACUCCAGGUUUUACUGCAGAUCUGAGGACAAAUUUCCUACAAAGGUGUGAUGGGUCAGCCAGAGAGUCAUGCCAGAGUUAUUGUCAGUGGACAUCCACCUCUCCACAAGUAGAUGCAUUGUACUUGCUGCUCAACAUCAACGAUGCCUUCUCCUCGGCAGAGUGAGAGUUUCCCUCUUCAGCGAGAUCUAUUCAUCAUCAAGUACGCCUAGAUGUGUGACACAAAGCUGCUGAUGAUAUGCCUCUGAUGUACACAGUCUGCUUUAAAGUGAACUCCUCUCUUUGCAGAGCUCUCAAAGCUGAACUGAAAUCCACGGAGCUAUAAAGUGGAUGUCUGUACACCGUCCAUCGAGCUAUAAAGUGGAUGUCUGUGCACCGUCCAUCGAGCUAUAAAGUGGAUGUCUGUGCACCGUCCAUCGAGCUAUAAAGUGGAUGUCUGUGCACCGUCCAUCGAGCUAUAAAGUGGAUGUCUGUGCACCGUCCAUCGAGCUAUAAAGUGGAUGUCUGUGCACUGCACGUCAUCAAGAUUCUUUAUCCCACUGAGAAGGUGUGGUAUCUUGAGGAGUCCUCAGUCACAAAGUAUUUUCCUGAGACCUACAGUUGCCUAUCACAGACCAUUCUUCUCCUACUUUGCGAUUGCAUCAUAACUGACACACAAUGGAAUGGCAAUCAUCUUUGGAUAUGCUGCUUGCUUUAUUGAGUGACAUGCCCCUUUCCUUUCACUAAUUUAGAAGUGUAAAGAGUUACAACAGCAAGGUGCGUUGUGUUACUUUUUUUACACUAACAAUAAAAAAAAGUAAUGCAUGUUAAUAACUGCAUGUCAAGUACAUCCCCAGUGCAUGAAUAACAUUGACAUAAAUCGUCAGCUCAGUGCUAUGAGGUCAGUAAUUGUAAUUCCAAGUUUGUAUUGAUCAAAAUGUCAUGCGCUUACAUUCAAAACUAAAGUCAAAUUUCACAAAUCAAUGUUUUACCUAGAAAAUUAAUGUUUCUUUUUGAUGCCUUGAAAGACCACUCUUAAAAAAACACAUUUACCAGUUUGUUUUGAUCAAAAGGUAAUUAUACUCGACAAAAAUUAACAAAUCAAUGUUUUAAAUAGAAACUUAAAGUUUCGUUUUGAUGCCUUGAAGACCAUUCUUGAUCACGAGUUUCCAUUUACCAGGAGCCCCAAAAUAUGCAAAAGAAAUUUCAUCAAACCCAUUCAAAUUGCACUAGAGGCCUAAUAGUUCUGAGCAGACGAUUUAUGUACUUUUCAUAAGUAAUUAAAGUAAUGAAGCAGUUAUGCAUUUGUGAAGUGAUCAAGCUGAAUGAGUCGUUUGUUUGAAAUAUCAGUAUCGAGAAACAACCUAGAACAGACCAACAGGGGUGUUUCAAACAUUUUUGUGUGUGUAAAUUUAGAUGAGAAAAUAUAUUUAAUUUCAUAUUGGCAACUUUUGAUAAAAAAUGUGUUAAAAUGAGCAUUGAAAGAAAAUGUGCAGAGGUAUUUUCAAUAAACCCUAUUUUCUUAGUUUCAUUCUUUGUAGUCAAAUGUGGUGUCAACAUGGGGCUUAAAAA